AGGGAUUGCCUCAGUAACGGCGAGUGAAGCGGCAACUGCUCAAAUUUGAAAUCUGGCGCAAGCCCGAGUUGUAAUUUGCAGAGGAUGCUUCGGCCCGCGGUCGCGGCUCAAGUGCCCUGGAAAGGGACGCCGCGGAGGGUGAUAGCCCCGUCAUGGGCCGUCGACCCGCGGCCGUGUGAAGCUCCCUCGACGAGUCGAGUUGUUUGGGAAUGCAGCUCCAAAGCGGGAGGUAAAUUCCUUCCAAAGCUAAAUACCGGCCAAGGACCGAUAGCGCACAAGUAGAGUGAUCGAAAGAUGAAAAGCACUUUGGAAAGAGAGUCAAACAGUACGUGAAAUUGUUGAGAGGGAAGCGUUUGCGAUCAGACGCGCGGGGGGUCGGCUCACCCCGACCCGCGUGGUCGGGGGCAUUCCCUCCCCCCGCGAGCCAGCAUCGGCUCGGGCGGCGGCAGGAACCGGGCGGGAACGUGACUCCUCCGCGGAGUGUUAUAGCCCGUCCGGCCCUUCCCCACCGCCCGCCUGGGCCGAGGUAGGCGCGUCCU
rnacentral:rRNA from 1 species